GACCCAGGUUCGAUCCUGACUACGGGGGCUCUCUAUGGAAUUUGUUCGUUCUCCCCGUGACUUGUGUCGGUUUUCUGAGAUGUUCAGUUAACUCCCACACUCAAGGCGUACAGGUUUGUAGGUUAAUUGGGUACGGUAAAAUUAUAAAUUGCUCCAGUGCGUGAUAGUGAUAGUGUUACUGUGCGGGGAUAGUUAUUGUAUAGACUCGGUGAGCCGAAGGGCCUGUUUUUGUGCUGAAUCUCUAAACUAAACUAAUUCACUCUCUCUUGUGCCCUUGCCUCUGUCUCUGUCUCCGAUUUCACCAAUGGAUACGGAGGACCUCCACUCCCAGUAACCUUCCUCCUCAACCCUCCUCUGCUGUCUUGGGUAAGCAGAAGUUACCAGUCGUCUAUAUUGAUGGACCCGUGCUCUCAGAUCUUAGCUAUCAUGGACUUUCUGUGGGCCAAUGAGCUUAACAUUGCCAAUUUGCACACUGACAGUUGCCGUCUUGCCUGAGGAGAUCCAGAGCAUCUGCAAACUUCCCUCGCUCAAUCCAAUAAAGCCUCUGCUGGGUUUGAUCCAGAGUACGAGGCAGUGCCCUAACCAUUAGAGAUUGAUGUCAUGUUGAAAAUAAUCUGAAGUAUUCUGAAAGGAAUGGAUGGAUCCUGCUUCUUAUUGCUCCCUCCAACAAGAUGGUGGUGGUACGCUUCAUCCUCCAGAUCACCGCUACAGCAGUCUGCAGUACCAUCGGGCAGCUCAUUAUGAUGAUGGUAGCUGGAAUCACCAGGACAAUGGUCCAGACUUCCAAUUUGUACAUUGACAUCAUUGAAACCGCCUUAUUGGGUUAAAGCACAGAAUAGAUUUAGAUGAAUGGAAAUAAUAUGAGUACCUGAAUUCCAUCAUCACCAAAAAAGCAUACCAUUGUUUCUACUUCCUCAGGAUAUUUGACAUUAAUUUAAAGACUCUUACCAACAUCUGCAGUUGGAACUGUAGAAAACGUACUGCCGGGUUGUAUCACUACUUAGUUUGGGAACAGCUUUGCCCAAGACCACAAGAUAUUGCAGAGUUGUGGAUCUCUCCAGCACACGGGCCAGACUUCCCACCAUUAACUCCAUCUACACUUCGCUCUCUUGGGAAAGCAGCCAACAUAAUCAAAGACCUUUUCCACCCUUGUCAUUUCCACUAUUCCCUGCUUCCACCACAAAGAGGAUAUGAUAUAAAAGCCUGAAAGUGUAUACCUUCAGACUCAGGAACAGCUUCUUCCCCUGUUAUUUGAAUUCUGAAUGGUCCUUCCAGAAGCUAAGAUAACUUUCCUAAUUUCCAACCAACAUCAUUGUGAACAUUGGACUUUUUCUCAGAAACGAUUAUGCCACAAUGUUGAGAAACUGUAUGCUGCACUAUGCAUGUUUCUCCUCUCUCUACGUAUGGUGCUUGUGUAUGGCUUGAUUGUAUUUAUGUACAGUAUUACCUGAUUUAAUUCGAUAGUAUGCAAAAAAAAGCUUUUCACUGUAAAUCAGUGUACACAACAAUAAAGCAAUUUAAACAUGUUUUGUGUGCAACAGUAGAUGACUUCACAUUGCCCAUAUUAUAUUAUUUCUGUUGUGUUCUGGCCCACACACUCAGCUUGUUUCUAUCCCUUUAAAAACUCUUUACAUCUUUCUCACUGUUCAAACAUUUCCCAAGUUUUGUAUCAUCAGUAAAACUGGAAGUGC